UACGUAGGGUGCAAGCGUUGUCCGGAAUUAUUGGGCGUAAAGAGCUCGUAGGCGGCCUGUCGCGUCGGCUGUGAAAACUCAGGGCUCAACCCUGAGCCUGCAGUCGAUACGGGCAGGCUAGAGUCCGGCAGGGGAGACUGGAAUUCCUGGUGUAGCGGUGAAAUGCGCGAUAUCAGGAGGAACACCGAUGGCGAAGGCAGGUCUCUGGGCCGAUACUGACGCUGAGGAGCGAAAGCGUGGGGAGCGAACAGG
rnacentral:rRNA from 1 species